rnacentral:rRNA from 1 species
UUGCCUACGGGGGGCAGCAGUGGGGAAUAUUGCACAAUGGGGGAAACCCUGAUGCAGCGACGCCGCGUGAGCGAUGAAGUAUUUCGGUAUGUAAAGCUCUAUCAGCAGGGAAGAAAAUGACGGUACCUGACUAAGAAGCCCCGGCUAACUACGUGCCAGCAGCCGCGGUAAUACGUAGGGGGCAAGCGUUAUCCGGAUUUACUGGGUGUAAAGGGAGCGUAGACGGUCCUGCAAGCAAGAUGUGAAAGCCCGGGGCUCAACCCGGGGACUGCAUUUGGAUCU